AGCCCUGCCGCCCCACGGAGCUCGCAAAGUUCGGAUCCGCAAGGACCGGGCCAAGCGGGACGUCCGCGUGGCAGGGUGCACUUUCUCCGCGGUCGAGUGCUACGACCGGUUUCGCGGCGGUCAGAAGCCCGGCGGAAAGGUAGCGCCGCCCCUCGGGGUGUCGUGUUAUAGGCCGCCGCGGUGGACUCGCCGCGAGACCGAGGACGCUUGCCGCGCCGAGCGGUCCCGGGCCGUCUGGGGAGGUUCGACCUCGGCUGCACUGCUCCGCAGAGCACCGUAACCGCCGCCCUAGCACGGGUCCGGAGACUGCCGGCGCCUCGGGUCAGUAGCG
rnacentral:rRNA from 2 species